rnacentral:rRNA from 1 species
AACGAACGCUGGCGGCGUGCCUAACACAUGCAAGUCGUGCGAGAAAGUUCCUUCGGGAGCGAGUAAAGCGGCGCACGGGUGAGUAACACGUAGGUAACCUGCCCCCCAGUCUGGAACAACUAGAGGAAACUCUAGCUAAUGCCGGAUGAGACCACGAUCCCUUCGGGGUUGCGGCCAAAGAUGGCCUCUACUUGUAAGCUAUCGCUGAGGGAUGGGCCUGCGGGCCAUUAGCUUGUUGGUGAGGUAACGGCUCACCAAGGCUGUGAUGGCUAGCUGGUCUGAGAGGAUGACCAGCCACACUGGGACUGAGACACGGCCCAGACUCCUACGGGAGGCAGCAGUGGGGAAUAUUGCGCAAUGGGCGAAAGCCUGAUCCAGCCAUGCCGCGUGUGUGAAGAAGGCCUUCGGGUUGUAAAGGCACUUUAAGUACGGGGGAGGAAGGGGCGUUACGGGUUAAUACCUGUGAGCAUUGACGUUACCCGCACGAAUAAGCACCGGCUAACUCUGUCG